rnacentral:rRNA from 1 species
GACGAACGCUGGCGGCGUGCUUAACACAUGCAAGUCGAACGGAAAGGCCCUGCUUUUGUGGGGUGCUCGAGUGGCGAACGGGUGAGUAACACGUGAGUAACCUGCCCUUGACUUUGGGAUAACUUCAGGAAACUGGGGCUAAUACCGGAUAGGAGCUCCUGCUGCAUGGUGGGGGUUGGAAAGUUUCGGCGGUUGGGGAUGGACUCGCGGCUUAUCAGCUUGUUGGUGGGGUAGUGGCUUACCAAGGCUUUGACGGGUAGCCGGCCUGAGAGGGUGACCGGCCACAUUGGGACUGAGAUACGGCCCAGACUCCUGCGGGAGGCAGCAGUGGGGAAUAUUGCACAAUGGGCGGAAGCCUGAUGCAGCAACGCCGCGUGCGGGAUGACGGCCUUCGGGUUGUAAACCGCUUUCGCCUGUGACGAAGCGUGAGUGACGGUAAUGGGUAAAGAAGCACCGGCUAACUACGUGCCAGCAGCCGCGGUGAUACGUAGGGUGCGAGCGUUGUCCGGAUUUAUUGGGCGUAAAGGGCUCGUAGGUGGUUGAUCGCGUCGGAAGUGUAAUCUUGGGGCUUAACCCUGAGCGUGCUUUCGAUACGGGUUGACUUGAGGAAGGUAGGGGAGAAUGGAAUUCCUGGUGGAGCGGUGGAAUGCGCAGAUAUCAGGAGGAACACCAGUGGCGAAGGCGGUUCUCUGGGCCUUUCCUGACGCUGAGGAGCGAAAGCGUGGGGAGCGAACAGGCUUAGAUACCCUGGUAGUCCACGCUGUAAACGGUGGGUACUAGGUGUGGGGUCCAUUCCACGGGUUCCGUGCCGUAGCUAACGCUUUAAGUACCCCGCCUGGGGAGUACGGCCGCAAGGCUAAAACUCAAAGGAAUUGACGGGGCCCCGCACAAGCGGCGGAGCAUGCGGAUUAAUUCGAUGCAACGCGUAGAACCUUACCUGGGUUUGACAUGGAUCGGGAGUGCUCAGAGAUGGGUGUGCCUCUUUUGGGGUCGGUUCACAGGUGGUGCAUGGCUGUCGUCAGCUCGUGUCGUGAGAUGUUGGGUUAAGUCCCGCAACGAGCGCAACCCUUGUUCACUGUUGCCAGCACGUUAUGGUGGGGACUCAGUGGAGACCGCCGGGGUCAACUCGGAGGAAGGUGGGGAUGACGUCAAGUCUUCAUACCCCUUAUGUCCAGGGCUUCACGCAUGCUACAAUGGCUGGUACAGAGAGAGGGGAGCCUGUGAGGGUGAGAGAAUAUCUGAAAAACGGUCUCACUUUUGAGAGGGGUGUGCAAAUCUACAUCACAAAAUGUGAGUGUCUAGUAAUAUCAGAUAUGAAAAGCUGCGGGGAAAAUGUUUUCGGGGGU